GCGUAUACUAAAGUUGUUGCGGUUAAAAAGCUCGUAGUUGGAUCUUGGAAUGUGUUCAAGCGGGUCAGCUUCUGGCUGUUCGCUGCUUGACGUGUUCUUCUAUUUGGUUUUGGUGCGGUGCGCUUAACUGCGUGUCGCUCCCGGCCGAAACGUUUACCUUGAAAAAAUUAGAGUGUUCAAAGCAGACCUGUUUGAGUCUGAAUAUUCGUGCAUGGAAUAAUGAAAUAUGAAUUCGGUUCUAUUUUGUUGGUUUUCGGAUCUCGAGUUAAUGAUCAAGAGGGACAGACGGGGGCAUUCGUACUCUGCCGUUAGAGGUGAAAUUCUUGGAUCGGCGGAAGACGCGCAACUGCGAAAGCAUUUGCCAAGAAUGUUUUCUUUAAUCAAGAACGAUAGUCGGAGGUUCGAAGACGAUCAGAUACCGUCCUAGUUUCGACUGUAAACUAUGCCAGCUAACGAUCAGACAGAGUUCUCUACGACUUGUCUGGCAGUUUCCGGGAAACCAAAGCGUUUGGGUUCCGGGGGAAGUAUGGUUGCAAAGCUGAAACUUAAAGGAAUUGACGGAAGGGCACCACCAGGAGUGGAGCCUGCGGCUUAAUUUGACUCAACACGGGGAAACUCACCCGGCCCGGACACAGUGAGGAUUGACAGAUUGAGAGUUCUUUCUUGAUUCUGUGGGUGGUGGUGCAUGGCCGUUCUUAGUUGGUGGAGCGAUUUGUCUGGUUAAUUCCGAUAACGAACGAGACUCUGGCAUGUUAAAUAGUCGCGGAAGUGCGUAUGCACUUGCCGAAUUGACUUCUUAGAGGGACUAGUGAUUUUAAUUCACACGAGAUUGAGCAAUAACAGGUCUGUGAUGCCCUUAGAUGUUCGGGGCCGCACGCGCGCUACAAUGAGUCGAUCAACGUGCGUAUAUUUCCAAGGCCGAAAGGUCGAGGUAAUCCGUUGAACCCGACUCGUGCUAGGGAUAGGGACUUGUAAUUGUUUCCCUUGAACGAGGAAUUCCCAGUAAGCGCAAGUCAUCAGCUUGCGUUGAUUACGUCCCUGCCCUUUGUACACACCGCCCGUCGCUACUACCGAUUGAAUGGUUCAGUGAGAUAAUCGGAUAGGUAACUCGGUGAGCAGCAAUGUUUACCAAGCAUACAUAGAAGACGAUCAAACUCAGUCAUUUAGAGGAAGUAAAAGUCGUAACAAG
rnacentral:rRNA from 1 species